AGAGUUUGAUCCUGGCUCAGGACGAACGCUGGCGGCGUGCUUAACACAUGCAAGUCGAACGAUGAACCACUUCGGUGGGGAUUAGUGGCGAACGGGUGAGUAACACGUGGGCAAUCUGCCCUGCGCUCUGGGACAAGCCCUGGAAACGGGGUCUAAUACCGGAUACUGACCCGCUUGGGCAUCCAAGCGGUUCGAAAGCUCCGGCGGUGCAGGAUGAGCCCGCGGCCUAUCAGCUUGUUGGUGAGGUAAUGGCUCACCAAGGCGACGACGGGUAGCCGGCCUGAGAGGGCGACCGGCCACACUGGGACUGAGACACGGCCCAGACUCCUACGGGAGGCAGCAGUGGGGAAUAUUGCACAAUGGGCGAAAGCCUGAUGCAGCGACGCCGCGUGAGGGAUGACGGCCUUCGGGUUGUAAACCUCUUUCAGCAGGGAAGAAGCGAAAGUGACGGUACCUGCAGAAGAAGCGCCGGCUAACUACGUGCCAGCAGCCGCGGUAAUACGUAGGGCGCGAGCGUUGUCCGGAAUUAUUGGGCGUAAAGAGCUCGUAGGCGGCUUGUCACGUCGGUUGUGAAAGCCCGGGGCUUAACCCCGGGUCUGCAGUCGAUACGGGCAGGCUAGAGUUCGGUAGGGGAGAUCGGAAUUCCUGGUGUAGCGGUGAAAUGCGCAGAUAUCAGGAGGAACACCGGUGGCGAAGGCGGAUCUCUGGGCCGAUACUGACGCUGAGGAGCGAAAGC
rnacentral:rRNA from 1 species